rnacentral:rRNA from 1 species
CGGCGGACGGGUGAGUAACGCGUGGGCAACCUGCUUUCCACUGGGGGAUAACACAGGGAAACCUGUGCUAAUACCGCAUGACAUCACAUAGGGCAUCCUGUGUGAUCAAAGGAGUGAUCCGGUGGAAGAUGGGCCCGCGUCCGAUUAGCUGGUUGGUGAGGUAACGGCUCACCAAGGCGACGAUCGGUAGCCGGACUGAGAGGUUGGCCGGCCACAUUGGGACUGAGACACGGCCCAGACUCCUACGGGAGGCAGCAGUGGGGAAUAUUGCGCAAUGGGGGGAACCCUGACGCAGCGACGCCGCGUGAAGGAAGAAGGCCUUCGGGUUGUAAACUUCUUUGAUGAGGGACGAAGGAAGUGACGGUACCUCAAAAACAAGCCACGGCUAACUACGUGCCAGCAGCCGCGGUAAUACGUAGGUGGCGAGCGUUGUCCGGAAUUACUGGGUGUA